CCUACGGGAGGCAGCAGUGGGGAAUAUUGCACAAUGGGGGAAACCCUGAUGCAGCGACGCCGCGUGAGGGAUGAAGUAUUUCGGUAUGUAAAGCUCUAUCAGCAGGGAAGAAAAUGACGGUAUCUGAUGAAUAAGCACCGGCUAACUACGUGCCAGCAGCCGCGGUAAUACGUAGGGGGCAAGCGUUAUCCGGAUUUACUGGGUGUAAAGGGCGCGUAGACGGCAGAGCAAGUCUGGAGUGAAAUGCCGGGGCUUAACCCCGGAACUGCUUUGGAAACUGUGAAGCUAGAGUGCAGGAGAGGUAAGUGGAAUUCCUGGUGUAGCGGUAAAAUGCGUAGAUAUUAGGAGGAACACCCGUGGCGAAGGCGACUUACUAGACUGUAACUGACGUUGAGGCUCGAAAGCGUGGGGAGCAAACAGGAUUAGAUACCCCUGUAGUC
rnacentral:rRNA from 1 species